AUGUUGCAAUCCAAGACCAUAACUACAGCAGAAAAAGACAAAUUUCUGUACGUCGGUCAGAGAGGACAAAGAAGCCUGCAGCUCACAGGCAGUGUCCAUGCUGCAGGAACAACCAGCACCAGCACUCUGCUACACCUACCAGGCUGCCCCAGAAGAGGAAGCGGACCUCUGUAGCCCGUCCUUCCCAGCCUUCUCCUGGGCAUCCAGAGCUGCUGAGUCAAGCUUCCACUGCUUCUACCAGCUCGUUGGACUUGGUCCCAAGUUGCCAACAUGAUUUGUUGAGGUACAAAAAUGGACACCCGUGUCCAUACACUUUAGAGCUGGGACGUCGGAUCAAAACCGAGCUGUGGGAGCGACUGGGUCGUCCUAGCUUCACAGAAUCAGUCAGUGAAGAUGGACUGGUGACUAUCGACCAGCGUUUUGGGGUCGGAGUCCAUCCUCCUCAUUAUGAUGUGGACAUUUCUGGAGAACCAAAGCCUGGCAAGCCAAAACAGAAGAGAGCCAGGAAGUAAGAACUGAGUGCUUUAUUCCAUCCUCCACCUACAACCUCCUGCCUCAUCCACUGACAAACCUAUCAUCCACCUUAAGACUCAAAAUCACAAAAGACAACCAAAAGACAACAUCUCAGACAACACCACCUGUCUCCUUUAGCUUUACCUGCAAGCCUCCACCUACAGACUCUGACCACUACCUGUAACACAAGCCUCUGACUACCAACCUCAGCCAACAAGCUACAAGUCUUCUCCACCUGCAGACUCUGGAAAACAGCUGACUCCCGGCCCUCCACCAACCAGCUUCAACCUACAACCUGCAAGCCUCCUCCACCUUCAAAUUCUGAACACCACCCACUGUCUCUCUACAAGCCCCUGCCAAUGACCUGCAGUCCACCUCCACUUGUACAUUCUGGCAACAAGCUGUAGCCUGACCCUCCACCCACCAGCCAACACAAUGCAGGUCUCCUCCACCUGCAGAUUCUGACCACCACCUGUAGCACAAGCCUCUAAUUGCCAACCUCUGUCAAUGACCUGCAGGCCAACUCCACCUGCAUAUAGUGGCAGAAAACUACACCAGAAACUCCACUAUGAGCCUCUAAGAACAACCUGCAGGUCCUCCACCUGCAGAUUCUUGCAAUCAGCUGACUCCUGCCCUCCACUGACCAGCUACAACCAACAACUUAGAAGCUUCGUCCACCAUCAAAUUAUGAACACCACCUCUACCACAAGGCUCUGCCUGCCAGCUUUUACCAACGACCUGCAGGCCACCUCCACCUGCACAUUCUGGCAACCUGGCCCUCCACAUACCAGCCUCUGCACCCAGCCAUAAGGCUGCCUACACCUGCAGACUGUGGCAGGCAGCUGUACCCACCCACCACCUGCCAGCCUCUUCCACCAGCCUUCUGGCCCCCUCCACCUCCAUACUGUGGAUAGCAGCUUUAGACUGACCAUCCACUUACCAGCCAUUGCCAACAGCCCACAGCCCACCUCAAGCUGCAGACUGUGGCAAGCACCUGGAGCCUGACCCUCCACCUGCCAGCGUCUUCCACCAGUCUGCAGCCCGCCUCCACCUGCAAACUGUGGCAAGCAGCUUUAGACUGACCAUCCACCUACAAGCCUUUUCCAGCAGCUCACAGCCCGCCUCCACCUGCAGCCCUGGAAGCAGCUGGAGCCUGACCCUCCACCUACCUGUCUCUGCCACCAGCCUGCAUGCCGCCUCAUCUGCCAGUGAUUUCCACCACCUUGCAGCCCGCCUCCACCUGUAUACUGUGGAUAGCAGCUUUGACUGACCCUCCACAUAACUACAACCUCUGCCUCCAGCCUUCAGGCCGUCACAACCUGCAGACUGUGCCAAGCAGCUGUACCAUGAUUCUCCACCUACCAGCCUCUUCCACCAGCCUUCUGGUCACCUCCACCUGCAGACUGUGGCAAGCAGCUUCAGACUGACCAUCCACCUACCAGCCUUUGCAAACAGCUCACAGCCCGCCUCCAGGUGCAGAUUGCGGCAAGCAGCUGGAGCCUGACCCUCAACCUGCCAACGUCUUCCACCAGUCUGCAGCCCGCCUCCACCUGCAGACUGUGGCAAGCAGCUGUACCAUGAUCCUCCACCUACCAGCCUCUUCCAUCAGCCUUCUGGUCACCUCCACCUGCAGACUGUGGCAAGCAACUUUAGACUGACUCUCCAUCUGCCUGCCUCUGCCAACAGCCUGCAAGCCGGCUCCACCUGCAGACUCUGGCAAGCAUCUGUACCCUGACCCUCCACCUUCCUGUUUCUGCCACCAGCCUUCAGGCUACCUCCACCUGCAGAUUCUGGCAAGCAGCUGCACCCUCCACUUGGAAGCCUCUGCCACCAGCCUUCAUGUCGCCUCAACUUGCACAGUGUGGCAAGAAGCUUAAACUGACCCUCCACCUACCAGCCUCUGCCUCCAGCCUUCAGGCCGCAUCCACCUGCGGACUCUGGCAAGCAGCUUCAGACUGCCCAUCCACCUACCAGCCUUUGCCAACAGGUCGCAACCUGCCUCCAGCUGCAGACUGUGGCAAGCAGCUGGAGCCUGACCCUCCAACUGCCUGUUUCUGCCACCAGUCUGCAGGCCGCCUCCACCUGCAGACUGUGGCAAGCAACUAUGACUGACCCUCCAC